rnacentral:misc_RNA from 1 species
UCUCCGUUGGUGAACCAGCGGAGGGAUCAUUAUCGAGUUUAUAACUCCCAAACCCUAUGUGAACUUACCACUUGUUGCUUCGGCGCGCGCUUCGGUGCCGCCGAGGACACUUAAACUCUUUGUUUUUAUAAGCAUUUCUGAGUGGCCGAAAGGCAAAAUACAAAUGAGUCAAAACUUUCAACAACGGAUCUCUUGGUUCUG